CCCGGAGACACCAGGCCGAGCGCGACCCCACGGCUCGGGCCUGGCACCGCGCGCGCACCCGCACCGCCUGAGCCGGCCAAUCAGGGGCCGGGCAUGCGCAGCCCUCAGGCUCGCUCGCGCGCGGGCCUCACGCGUGAGGACCCCCCCCCAAGCCGAGCCGGCGCGCGCACCCCUCCCCCACGCGCCCAGGCGCGCGCGUGCAACUGUCGUCCCCCGCGACCGCGUCUGCUCCUGCCCCACCCCCAACGCCGACGGGUUGGGGGUGGGGGGGGCCAGUGGCCCCAACACCGGCGCCGGCAAUGCCCAGACCCCUGUCGGUGCAGGCCCUGGAGGGGGCGAGUCUCAAAUAAAGGCUCUGCUCGCGAUGGCAACCAGGGCGGGGAACUGGGGAUGAGGCGACAGGGACUCACCCGAGUGCAGCCGCCUCCAGGCAGCGCCGGGGUCAGGGGUGCCGAAGGGAAGCGAGCGUGGGCCGCGCGCAAACUGCGACCGCAGCGGAGCAGCCUCGGGCUGAGACGGGCUAGCGAGCGGGCAGGAGGCGCGCUGCGCGUGCGCACCCGCAGUGCCGCCCAGCGGGAGUUGUAGUCCCUGAUUCGUCCCCACCAACGCGACGGCGGGAGCGCUGGACUACGAAUCCCAGGAAGCCUCGCGCCGGCAAGCCCGGAGCCGGAGGACGCGGCGAGCGCGGCGCCCGGCCCUCUCGGGCAAGGACUGUCAAUGGAGGCGCGGGUGGUGGGAGCGAGAACAUGGCUGCACCUGGGGCCUGCGCGGCCGCCCGAGUGGGGGAGGGGAGCUGGGGCGCAGGGGUGAAAAUCCAGGCCGCGGGGAGCUUCAUCCUGUUUGCUGACGCGCUCCAGCCGGCCUCAGCCACCGUUCAAGGCUCGCACUCACUCUUGCCCCCGAGAUUCCCUGCAAAUUGAGAGGUCGGAACACUGCAAAGGCCGGGGCUCCCCAGGCCGGCAUGCCUCCUCCCAGGCUCAGCCAAGGGACUUCUCCGCCCUGCACCACCCUCCAGGACACAAAGAACUGUUAGUUUUGAAAGCUUGCCUCAAAAGGGGCUAUUGCCCCAACUUUGGACGGGCGAGGGAAGAGCACCCUUCUGUUUUUGUUUACCCCACCCUUAGGCUUUGCUCACUUUUUCUUAACAUUUAGAAGGGAAGUUAAGGAGGAAAAGCCAAGGAGGGGAGCAGAAAACGUGAUUUGCAGCCCGUUGUGUUCUGUCAACCGCUAAGCCGUCCCCUCCCCCCGGUAAUUUUUUUGCAUCUCAACUUUGAUUAGCUCGUGAAUUUCGAAAAUGGUGAGACGCUAGUGUACGCUCAAGUUAGAAGUUUUUAAAACUCGGGCCCAGAGAUUUUAGAUGUUUCUUUAAAGCACAAAAUCGAGUGAUUUUGCGAUGUUUUUUUCCCACCGGCGAUCUGGGCCACGCCGGCCAUCAUCCCCCUCCCCCUCCUCCUCGGUAGGUGGCGACCACGGCGCUUUCUCCAGCCUUUGUCGCUCGCGAGAAAACUUUCCGAGCUGCAAGUCUUUUGAUGUAGGUCCAAAACCUUUCCUUUGAACUUGGGUUCGCGGAUUGGCGUUCCCCGUCUUCUUUCUUCCGUAGACCGCACCCUUUCCUCAUCUAGAAGUUCCACGGUGGGUUUCUUUAAAAUAGAUGGAGAAUUUAAAGAUCUCUCCGAAGCAA